CUCGCUAGAUGCGGCGCUUAUUCCAGCCAAGAAGAAGAUCUGUGCCAACCCCAACGAGAAUGCCAAGUUAGUGUGCAAGUGAGCUUGUUCUGUAUUCAGGCCAAUGAGAAGCACAUAACUGGCGACAGUUAAAGUCUCUCCAAUCAAUGAUAAUGUAAGACCAACAUAUGUAAUUAUACUCAGGGCUUUGCGAUGGCUUGCAUCAACCUGAA